rnacentral:rRNA from 1 species
CACGGGGGGAGCAAGCGUUGUUCGGAAUCACUGGGCGUAAAGGGCGUGUAGGCGGUCAGGUAAGUGGGAUGUGAAAUGCCUCGGCUCACCCGAGGCACUGCAUUCCAAACUGCUUGGCUUGAGUAUGGGAGAGGAUGAGGGAAUUCCUGGUGUAGCGGUGAAAUGCGUAGAUAUCUGGAGGAACACCGGUGGCGAAGGCGGCAUCCUGGACCGGUAUUGACGCUGAGGCGCGAAAGCUAGGGGAGCAAACGGG